UAUAUACUCCCUCCGUCCCAAAAUUCUUGUCUUAGAUUUGUCUAAAUACGGAUGUAUCUAAUUACGUUUUAGUGUCAGGUACAUCUGUAUUUAGACAAAUCUAAGACAAAAAAUUUAGGAUGGAGAGAGUACUAG
rfam:Triticum urartu cultivar G1812 contig900190, whole genome shotgun sequence.